rnacentral:rRNA from 1 species
CCUACGGGUGGCAGCAGUAGGGAAUUUUCGGCAAUGGGGGGAACCCUGACCGAGCAACGCCGCGUGAAGGAAGAAGGAAUUCGUUCUGUAAACUUCUGUUAUAAAGGAAGAAAGACGGAUGGAGGAAAUGACAUCCGAGUGACGGUACUUUAUGAGAAAGCCACGGCUAACUACGUGCCAGCAGCCGCGGUAAUACGUAGGUGGCAAGCUUUAUCCGGAAUUAGUGGGCGAAAAGAGGGCUCAGGCGGCAGCAACGGUCUGUGGUGAAAGACUGAAGCUUAACUUAAGUAGGCCAUAGAGACCUGGCAGCUAGAGUGCAGGAGAGGAUCGUCGAAUUCCAGGUGUAGCGGUGAAAGGCGUAGAUAUAUGGAGGAACACCAGUGGCGAAGGCGACGAUCUGGCCUGCAACUGACGCUCAGUCCCGAAAGCGUGGGGAGCAAAUAGGAUUAGAUACCCCUGUAGUC